rnacentral:rRNA from 1 species
UACGAAGGGGGGCUAGCGUUGCUCGGAAUUACUGGGCGUAAAGGGUGCGUAGGCGGUUUGGUAAGUCUGAUGUGAAAUCCCUGGGCUCAACCCAGGGCCUGCAUCGGAAACUGUCGGGCUUGAGUAUGGGAGAGGUGAGUGGAAUUUCCGGUGUAGCGGUGAAAUGCGUAGAGAUCGGAAAGAACACCAACGGCGAAAGCACUCUGCUGGGCCGACACUGACACUGGAGAGACGAAAGCUAGGGGAGCGAAUGGG